UACGUAGGGUGCGAGCGUUGUCCGGAUUUAUUGGGCGUAAAGCGCUCGCAGGUGGUCCGUCGCGUCGUGCGUGAAAGACCCCGGCUCAACUGGGGAGGGUCGUGCGAUACGGGCGGACUGGAGGCCAGUAGGGGGAUGCGGAAUUCCGGGUGUAGUGGUGGAAUGCGUAGAGAUCCGGAGGAACACCAGCGGCGAAGGCGGCAUCCUGGACUGGUCCUGACACUCAGGAGCGAAAGCGUGGGGAGCGAUCCGG
rnacentral:rRNA from 1 species